UCACUGGUGGCUCAGAUGGUAAAGCAUCUGCCUGCAAUGCAGAAGACCCAGGUUCGAUCCCUGGGUCGGGAA
rnacentral:tRNA from 1 species